AGUGAACGCUGGCGGUAGGCCUAACACAUGCAAGUCGAACGGCAGCACAGUAAGAGCUUGCUCUUACGGGUGGCGAGUGGCGGACGGGUGAGGAAUACAUCGGAAUCUACUUUUUCGUGGGGGAUAACGUAGGGAAACUUACGCUAAUACCGCAUACGACCUACGGGUGAAAGCAGGGGAUCUUCGGACCUUGCGCGAUUGAAUGAGCCGAUGUCGGAUUAGCUAGUUGGCGGGGUAAAGGCCCACCAAGGCGACGAUCCGUAGCUGGUCUGAGAGGAUGAUCAGCCACACUGGAACUGAGACACGGUCCAGACUCCUACGGGAGGCAGCAGUGGGGAAUAUUGGACAAUGGGCGCAAGCCUGAUCCAGCCAGACCGCGUGGGUGAAGAAGGCCUUCGGGUUGUAAAGCCCUUUUGUUGGGAAAGAAAAGCAGCAGGUUAAUACCCCGCUGUUCGGACGGUACCCAAAGAAUAAGCACCGGCUAACUGCGU
rnacentral:rRNA from 1 species